rnacentral:rRNA from 1 species
CUACGGGGCGCUCCAGUGGGGAAUAUUGCACAAUGGGCGCAAGCCUGAUGCAGCCAUGCCGCGUGUAUGAAGAAGGCCUUCGGGUUGUAAAGUACUUUCAGCGGGGAGGAAGGGAGUAAAGUUAAUACCCUUGCUCAUUGACGUUACCCGCAGAAGAAGCACCGGCUAACUCCGUGCCAGCAGCCGCGGUAAUACGGAGGGUGCAAGCGUUAAUCGGAAUUACUGGGCGUAAAGCGCACGCAGGCGGUUUGUUAAGUCAGAUGUGAAAUCCCCGGGCUCAACCUGGGAACUGCAUCUGAACUGGCAAGCUUGAGUCUCGUAGAGGGGGGUAGAAUUCCAGGUGUAGCGGUGAAAUGCGUAGAGAUCUGGAGGAAUACCGGUGGCGAAGGCGGCCCCCUGGACGAAGACUGACGCUCAGGUGCGAAAGCGUGGGGAGCAAACAGGAUUAGAUACCCCUGUAGUC